CAUGAUGUGAACGGCAUACUCACUGC
rnacentral:piRNA from 1 species